rnacentral:lncRNA from 1 species
UUGAAAGAUGGCCAGAUUUGUAGUGCUCGUGUAAGGGGGAAGUAAGGGAGAUCUAAAAAAAAAUAAUGAUCUAGUGCUUGAACUUGGUUCGUAUGAAUCUUUGUGGACUAAUGUAAGAAGCAGAGAAGUUAAGAGAAUGACAGUGAAACUGCUGAGCAUGCACAAAAACAUGUUGUACUACUUAUUCUAUGACUGAGGGCAUAUUGACAGAGGGAACAACAAAUCAAUGACUUGGGACUAUGGUAUCCAAAGGAAAGUAAUUUCACUCUUAAGGGCUAUAAAAAUGUUGACUAUGUGGGUUACUUAAUUGACUGGAUAAGCACCAAAGGCAC